CUUUCUUGAUUCGGUGGGUGGUGGUGCAUGGCCGUUCUUAGUUGGUGGAGCGAUUUGUCUGGUUAAUUCCGAUAAACGAACGAGACUCUAGCCUGCUAACUAGGCGAUUUCCGGUACCCACAAUAGUGUUACCGGCGAUUCAAUUUCUUCUUAGAGGGACAGGCGGCUCCUAGGGCCGCCGAUGUUGCCGGAAAG
rnacentral:rRNA from 1 species